UCAUGGUAGAUUCGAUGAUUAGGGAUGCU
rnacentral:piRNA from 1 species